rnacentral:rRNA from 1 species
AAUGAACGUUGGCGGCGUGGAUUAGGCAUGCAAGUCGUGCGAUAACCCCGCAAGGGGGGAAAGCGGCGAAAGGGAGAGUAACGCGUGGGUACCCGCCCCUUGGUCCGGAAUAGCUGCGGGAAACUGCAGGUAAUGCCGGAUAAUAUCCUCGGAUCAAAGGUGUGAUUCCGCCGAGGGAGGGGCCCGCGUUCUAUUAGCUAGUUGGUAGGGGAAUGGCCUACCAAGGCGACGAUGGAUACCGGGUGUGAGAGCAUGACCCGGCUCACUGGGACUGAGACACUGCCCAGACACCUACGGGUGGCUGCAGUCGAGAAUCUUCGGCAAUGGGCGCAAGCCUGACCGAGCGACGCCGCGUGCGGGAUGAAGGCCUUCGGGUUGUAAACCGCUGUCGUAGAGGAGGAAAUGCCAUGGGGUUCUCUCCAUGGUUUGACCUAUUCUAGGAGGAAGGACGGGCUAAGUUCGUGCCAGCCGCCGCCGUAA